GUCACUAUAGCUUAGUGGUUGAGCAUACGAUUGCAAUUGAUUGGGUUUCAUACCAUCAGUGUUAUAUCGUGAGGUCCCGCGUUCGAACCGCGGUAGUGACU